AGAACAAGUACCGUUCGAAUAGGGCGGUACUUGACGGUACCUAACCAGAAAGCCACGGCUAACUACGUGCCAGCAGCCGCGGUAAUACGUAGGUGGCAAGCGUUGUCCGGAAUUAUUGGGCGUAAAGCGCGCGCAGGCGGUUUCUUAAGUCUGAUGUGAAAGCCCCCGGCUCAACCGGGGAGGGUCAUUGGAAACUGGGGAACUUGAGUGCAGAAGAGGAGAGUGGAUUCCACGUGUAGCGGUGAAUGCGUAGAGAUGUGGAGGAACACCAGUGGCGAAGGCGACUCUCUGGUCUGUAACUGACGCUGAGGCGCGAAAGCGUGGGGAGCGAACAGGAUUAGAUACCCUGGUAGUCCACGCCGUAAACGAUGAGUGCUAAGUGUUAGAGUUUUUCGCCCUUUAGUGCUGCAGCAAACGCAUUAAGCACUCCGCCUGGGGAGUACG
rnacentral:rRNA from 1 species